rnacentral:lncRNA from 1 species
GAAAGUGUGAGACCUGGAAGCAGGAAAUCUAGUCCGGAGAGACAAGUUCAGGACUAGGCCUGCAGUGACAGAUUGCCAGGACGCCCUCCUCUGACAAAAUUGACCUUUCUUCACAGUCCAAGAUGCAGUGGAAUUAUGGGGCUGUGCGUGGAGCUUUUGUGAGCCUGGCUGCCACUCUUAUCAAAUGUGACAGGAAGGUCUGGUUCCGCAUCCAUGGCAAGGCCCAGUAUGGAGAAACAGCAACAUGGACGUUGGCGGUGAGAAUAGAUGAAGCCAACUUAUCUCUCAAAUAAGGAGACAAGG